rnacentral:sRNA from 1 species
GAUGCACAGAGGGCAAAGAAUGGGGCCGGGGAGGCCCUGGAAAUCUCCAGUGAGAUUGAACAGGUAAAGAGAAAUCGACAUGUGUGUUGGUGCCAGUAGCACCAAACACAAGGGUGGUGUGGAGGGAAAAAGAACAUUGAGCUUAUUUUAACCUCUGAGGCUCAGAGCCCUGUUGUGGCCCAUGGGAGCCCCAGAUUAAAAGACUAUGGUAGCAAAGACGCAUGACAGAGAAUGAUGUGUUUUUUUGUCCUCUGGGUUUUCCCAAAUGGUUCCUAACUCUGUUCAACAGUUGGUGAGCAUUGAACUGAGAGAGAAGCACUGUCUGGCUGCUGACCUUCCUAGUCAUACCCCCAGAUUAGCUUGUUUGAGGCAGAGCUUGGCAAAGUACCCCUGUCCCUAAGUCUGAUUCUCUCAUUAUUCAUCUAACUUACUCCAUCAGGGCCCGGCUGCAACUGUAUUUUUUCUACGGUUGUCUUUGGGAUGUUUUUGUGCCUCACCCCUAUCUCUCCUUCCGUCCCUGGCUCCUUUUCUUCUCUCAGGAGAUUGGGAGUCUGAACUUGGAAGCCAAUGUGACAGCAGAUGGAGCCUUGGCCAUGGAAAAGGGACUGGCCUCUCUGAAGAGUGAGAUGAGGGAAGUGGAAGGAGAGCUGGAAAGGAAGGAGCUGGAGUUUGACACGAAUAUGGAUGCAGUACAGAUGAAGCCCAGAAGGUUGAUACCAGAGCCAAGAACGCUGAGGUUACAAUCCAAGACACACUCAACACAUUAGACGGCCUCC